UACGGAGGGUGCAAACGUUGCUCGGAAUCAUUGGGCGUAAAGCGCACGUAGGCGGCUUGUUAAGUCGGGUGUGAAAUCCCUGGGCUCAACCCAGGAAGUGCACUCGAAACUGGCGAGCUUGAAUAUGGAAGAGGGUCGCGGAAUUCCCGGUGUAGAGGUGAAAUUCGUAGAUAUCGGGAGGAACACCAGUGGCGAAGGCGGCGACCUGGGCCAAUAUUGACGCUGAGGUGCAAAAGCGUGGGGAGCAAACAGG
rnacentral:rRNA from 1 species